UACCUCUGCAGGCUCUGUGCUCGUGCAUCGAACUGUCGACGCCCCAUCCGCUUCAGUCUUGCCCCAAGCGCAGCUCUUGGCUUGCGGGUGCCAAAGGUAUCCUGUGUUGCUUACCCACGGAAAGGAAUUCGAUGGUUUUGGUGUCCCCAUCCGCCUUGUGCCCUUUGGGGUGCGGGGUGGACGCGAGGCGGGCUCCGUGUUCCCCGCGCGUCGAGUGCAUUGACACUUGACCGUUGUGGCCCAUGGGGUCUCGACCCGUGCUCUCGGAUGCGGAAUGUUGUGUGUGGGCGUGGGGUCUCGGCCUCUUCUCGUCCAAGCUACACGCAUUGUCCCUUAACAUGAACGACUAUCGCGCUCGUCUUGAUCGACCGACCGAGGCCCUGUUGCGGUUUUCGGAAGGGCGGCUCAUGCGGAUGUCGAUGUCGGAGAGGAAUGCUACCUGGUUGAUCCUGCCAGUAGUCAUAUGCC
rnacentral:misc_RNA from 1 species